GCGGCCGUAACUAUAACGGUCCUAAGGUAGCGAAAUUCCUUGUCGGGUAAGUUCCGACCUGCACGAAUGGCGUAACGAUCUGGGCACUGUCUCGACGAGAGACUCGGUGAAAUUGUAGUAGCGGUGAAGAUGCCGUUUACCCGCAGUAGGACGAAAAGACCCCGUGAACCUUUACUAUACUCUGGUAUUGGUUUUUGGGUUAUCAUGUGUAGGAUAGCCAGGAGGCGAGGAAGUAGAGUCGUCAGGCUUUAUGGAGCCAUCCUUGAAAUACUGGUCUUGAUAAUCCGGAAAUCUAACGAUGAAACCCGUGAAACCGGGCAUCGGACAUUGCCAGACGGGUAGUUUGACUGGGGCGGUUUCCUCCUAAAAAGUAACGGAGGAGUCCAAAGCUUGCUUCACCAUGGUCGGCAAUCAUGGGUUGAGCGUAAAGGCAUAUGGCAAGUUGACUGUAAGACGGACAUGUCGAGCAGGUACGAAAGUAGGGCUUAGUGAUCCGGCGGUUGAAAGUGGAAUCGCCGUCGCUUAACGGAUAAAAGGUACUCCGGGGAUAACAGGCUGAUCGCCACCAAGAGUUCAUAUCGACGUGGCGGUUUGGCACCUCGAUGUCGACUCAUCACAUCCUGGGGCUGUAGAAGGUCCCAAGGGUUUGGCUGUUCGCCAAUUAAAGUGGUACGCGAGUUGGGUUCAGAACGUCGUGAGACAGUUCGGUUUCUAUCCGCUGUGGGCGUAGGAUAUUUGAGGAGAGCUGCUUCUAGUACGAGAGGACCGAAGUGGACAGACCUCUGGUGAUCCGGUUGUUCUGCCAAGGGCAUCGCCGGGUAGCUAUGUUUGGAAAGGAUAAGCGUUGAAAGCAUCUAAACGCCAAGCCUCCUCCAAGAUAAGAUAUCCCAAUGAGACUCCCGAUAGACGAUCGGGUUGAUAGGCCGGGUGUGUAAGUGCAGUAAUGCAUUCAGCUGACCGGUACUAAUAAGUCCAUUGGCUUGGUCAC
rnacentral:ncRNA from 1 species